CAGUAGCCGCGGUAAUACGUAGGGUGCGAGCGUUAAUCGGAAUUACUGGGCGUAAGGCGUGCGCAGGCGGUUUUGUAAGACAGGCGUGAAAUCCCCGGGCUCAACCUGGGAAUGGCGCUUGUGACUGCAAAGCUAAAGUGCGGCAGAGGGGGAUGGAAUUCCGCGUGUAGCAGUGAAAUGCGUAGAUAUGCGGAGGAACACCGAUGGCGAAGGCAAUCCCCUGGGCCUGCACUGACGCUCAUGCACGAAAGCGUGGGGAGCAAACAGGAUUAGAUACCCCCGUAGUCCCUGUCUCUUAUAC
rnacentral:rRNA from 1 species